rnacentral:rRNA from 1 species
GAUGAACGCUGGCGGCGUGCCUAAUACAUGCAAGUCGAGCGAACAGACGAGGAGCUUGCUCCUCUGACGUUAGCGGCGGACGGGUGAGUAACACGUGGAUAACCUACCUAUAAGACUGGGAUAACUUCGGGAAACCGGAGCUAAUACCGGAUAAUAUAUUGAACCGCAUGGUUCAAUAGUGAAAGACGGUUUUGCUGUCACUUAUAGAUGGAUCCGCGCCGCAUUAGCUAGUUGGUAAGGUAACGGCUUACCAAGGCGACGAUGCGUAGCCGACCUGAGAGGGUGGUCGGCCGCCCUGGAGCUGAGCCACGGUCCAGGCUCCUACGGGAGGCAGCAGUCGGGAAUCUUCCGCAAUGGGCGAAAGCCUGACGGAGCAACCCCGCGUGAGUGAUGAAGGUCUUCGGAUCGUAAAACUCUGUUAUUAGUGAAGAACAAAUGUGUAAGUAACUAUGCACGUCUUGACGGUACCUAAUCAGAAAGCCACGGCUAACUACGUG